rnacentral:rRNA from 1 species
AGCGAACGCUGGCGGCAGGCCUAACACAUGCAAGUCGAACGAACCUUUCGGGGUUAGUGGCGGACGGGUGAGUAACACGUGGGAACGUGCCUUUAGGUUCGGAAUAACUCAGGGAAACUUGUGCUAAUACCGAAUGUGCCCUUCGGGGGAAAGAUUAAUCGCCUUUAGAGCGGCCCGCGUCUGAUUAGCUAGUUGGUUGAGGUAAUGGCUCACCAAGGCGACGAUCAGUAGCUGGUCUGAGAGGAUGAUCAGCCACAUUGGGACUGAGACACGGCCCAAACGGCGGCGGGGAGGAGAGGCGGGUAGUCGUGGGCGAGGGGGCAAAGCAGGACGCAGCAGCGUGGUAGGAAGGAUGAAGGUGUAAGGAGAGGAAAAUGCUGGCACAGGGAACGAGAAAGCGGGAGAACGGAGAAGAGCCCGCGGCGAACUGGGUGCAAGCAGCCAGGAAGAAUCGGACCCCACACGUUUCAAC